GGCAAAUUUGUAAUUUAAUACCCCAUUUAACAUGAAUUAUAAUUUCUCUAUGGACAAUUUAGUAAAUCUCAAUAUAAUUAGUUGGGGAGUAAAUCUUAGCCGUCCUUCCCUUUCAAUCGUGGCCAUUUGUUUCUUUCACUAGAUGUUAUCACCUUUGCCGUUUUCGUUUCCACCUCUUCAAGGCGCGAUACAUUUUCGUUCUUCAAUCUUCCACCUCUUCUAAAGUCUUCCGUUUCAGUUUCUCCCCUGAUUCGGCCGCUUCAUUCUCUGCAGCCUCAUUCCAGCGAUAUAAGAUCCCCCUUCCACCUCCAUCAAACCCAAAUCGACACAACCUCCUUCAACACCCAAACUCGCGGCACCAUUCCUUCUUCCUCAGCCAAGCCAUCGCUGUCACCGCUUCCUCUUUCCCCAGCCAAACCACCUUCCCUAACCUUCGAUUAAAUCCAUCAAUCUUCCAUACUUUUAAUUUUCAUUGAAAUUUACUAACCCUUUAUUUGCCAUUCAUGUGUUAUUCGUAAUUGAUCCUGCAUUGCUGCCAUCUGCUCUCCUCCAAGGCCAAAGUAACAUCUUUUAUUAUUUAUCCAUUCGGUUAGUGUUAAUUCUGCCCAGCAACUUAUUGAAUGUUUAUUCAGUCUUUUGAUUUUCCUUUCAUAUGUUCUUCUUAAUCGGCCCAAUUUAGGAUGCCAUAUGCUCUCCUGCAAUGCUAAGAUCUUGACCUGUAUUGAUUAUUUGUGCUCUGAAGCACUUAACUACUAAAAGUUGCCUUUCUUCUCUGUUGCUCAAUUGGAUCUGGACCUGCAUUGAUUAUUUUUUUGUGUUUCUACCAUCUGUUAGUAAAAUUCCAUUGAGUUUCAUAGGCUGUAGAACAAGAUCAUACAUUUUCAUAUUUUCUAUUCGGUCAUGUGUUUAAUCUCUACAAUGAUAAGAGCAAGAUUUGGGGGGAUUGAUAUUAUGUCAUGUAUGAAAGGGGAUGAGCUACUAGGUUAACAUAGGCUCACUUUUGCAUUCUCAAGGACUCUGUUGAAUUUUAAUUCUGCAAUGUACCUUCUCUUCC